rnacentral:rRNA from 1 species
UACGGAGGGCGCGAGCGUUACCCGGAUUUACUGGGCGUAAAGGGCGUGUAGGCGGCUUGGGGCGUCCCAUGUGAAAGACCACGGCUCAACCGUGGGGGAGCGUGGGAUACGCUCAGGCUAGACGGCGGGAGGGGGUGGUGGAAUUCCCGGAGUAGCGGUGAAAUGCGCAGAUACCGGGAGGAACGCCGAUGGCGAAGGCAGCCACCUGGCUCGUUCGUGACGCUGAGGCGCGAAAGCGUGGGGAGCAAACCGG